AUUGAACGCUGGCGGCAGGCCUAACACAUGCAAGUCGAACGAGUGGCGGACGGGCGAGUAAUGUCUGGGAAACUGCCUGAUGGAGGGGGAUAACUACUGGAAACGGUAGCUAAUACCGCAUACCAUCGGAUGUGCCCUGAUGGGAUUAGCUAGUAGCUGGGGUAUAGGCUCACCUCGGCGACGAUCCCUAGCUGGUCUGAGAGGAUGACCAGCCACACUGGAACUGAGCCACGUGCCAGAAGCCUACGGGAGGCAGCAGUAGGAAAUCUUGCACAAUGGGCGCAAGCCUGAUGCAGCGAUGCCGAGUGUAUGAAGAAGGCCUUCGGAUUGUAAAGUACUUUCAGCGGGGAGGCGUUACCCACAGAAGAAGCACCGGCUAACUCCGUGCCAGCAGCCGCGGUAAUUC
rnacentral:rRNA from 1 species